GACGAACGCUGGCGGCGUGCUUAACACAUGCAAGUCGAACGGUUAAGCGCCUUCCUUUUUGGUGGGUGGGGAUGAGUGGCGAACGGGUGAGUAACACGUAAGUAACCUUCCCCCUUCUUCUGGAUAACCGCAUGAAAGUGUGGCUAAUACGGGAAAUUCUGGGGCUUUCGCAUGAUGGGUCUGGGUAAGAUAGUGUUUCGGGGGGGUUGGUGCUAGCGGCUUAUCAGCUAGUUGGUGGGGUGAUGGGCUACCAAGGCGGUUACGGGUAGCCGGCAUGAGAGGGUGGUCGGCCAGACUGGGACUGUGACCCGGCACAGACUGAUACGGGCGCCAGCCGUGCGGUAUCGUGCACAAUGGGCGAGAGACUGAUGACGCGGCGCCGCGUGAGGGAUGGACGCCUUCGGGUUGUGAACCUCUUUCGAAAGUGAAGCAGGCCUGCCUUGUUUGUGGGUGGGUUGACGGUAGCUGGAUAAGAAGCGCCGGCUAACUACGUG
rnacentral:rRNA from 1 species